rnacentral:rRNA from 1 species
CACGUAGGCACCAAGCGUUGUCCGGAUUUAUUGGGCGUAAAGAGCUCGUAGGCGGUUCAGUAAGUCGGGUGUGAAAACUCAGGGCUCAACCCUGAGCUGCCACCCGAUACUGCUGUGACUUGAGUCUGGUAGGGGAGUGGGGGAAUUCCUGGUGUAGCGGUGAAAUGCGCAGAUAUCAGGAGGAACACCGGUGGCGAAGGCGCCACUCUGGGCCACGACUGACGCUGAGGAGCGAAAGCAUGGGUAGCAAACAGG